AUUGAACGCUGGCGGCAGGCCUAACACAUGCAAGUCGAACGGUAACAGGAAGCAGCUUGCUGCUUUGCUGACGAGUGGCGGACGGGUGAGUAAUGUCUGGGAAACUGCCUGAUGGAGGGGGAUAACUACUGGAAACGGUAGCUAAUACCGCAUAACGUCGCAAGACCAAAGAGGGGGACCUUCGGGCCUCUUGCCAUCGGAUGUGCCCAGAUGGGAUUAGCUAGUAGGUGGGGUAACGGCUCACCUAGGCGACGAUCCCUAGCUGGUCUGAGAGGAUGACCAGCCACACGGGAACUGAGACACGGUCCAGACUCCUACGGGAGGCAGCAGUGGGGAAUAUUGCACAAUGGGCGCAAGCCUGAUGCAGCCAUGCCGCGUGUAUGAAGAAGGCCUUCGGGUUGUAAAGUACUUUCAGCGGGGAGGAAGGGAGUAAAGUUAAUACCUUUGCUCAGUGACGUUACCCGCAGAAGAAGCACCGGCUAACUCCG
rnacentral:rRNA from 1 species